AGCAUGGUGCAGUGGUUUGAGCACUGGACUGCAGCUGUGGAGACCAGGGUUCAAAUCCUUGCCUUGCUA